UUUCCCUCGCGUGGUACCGUGCGCUCGAUGCCUUCGUUGUGACUACCUACCCCUUCAUCCUUUAUAAGUUAGAUAGCAUACCCAUUGGUAAUAUGAAGAACAUGAUAAAGAACAGAUCGUAUGACAAAUGUUUGAUUCAUGAUGAUUUGCCAUUUUGUAUUGUGAAGUGUUGCAACCUUUAAAUACAUUGAGUGGAGUGUUGCAACCUUUAAAUUAUGUAUUGUUUUUUUAUCAUGUUCUUAAUAUGUAUUGUGAAGUGUUGCAACCUUUAAAUAUAUAGCAACUUAAUGAAGAAGGGAUGAUGGCGUUCACAAUCAGCCGAUCAGGAACAUAGUGCAGGCAAUGGAGCAGGAUGAUAAAUUUUUUUUUGCGAAGGCCAAUUUGCCAUGUAUUAAAAGAAUCCAACCCUUUAAGGACACUCCAAAAGUAAGUAGAAAGUACAACCGGAUCCUUGGGGAAGCCAACGCCAUCUUCCUCUUGCACAUGGCGGUGGCGCGCUGUGAGCCAUGCCACAACUGGAACUCCGCAUCACCUGUGGAGCCACCAAGACUUAAAUCAACAGCCAGUAAGUCACCAUGCUAUGCCAGAACAACCAUUCGAGAUUGGAUCGUCACUCAAGAGAAGAGGAUGAGAAGGGCUGGACAUGGCGAAUACGACUGCCAUUCCAUCAACAGGGACAACGCCCCUGCCCGGAUCCAACACCAACAGCAGAGAGCCACCAUGUUGAGAUCUGGAGAAACCUUAUUCGUCUCCGGCAUAGCCACAGCCAGAGCUGAAGCCAUGGGCAGCCAAAACCCCUAAUUGAACAAAAUAAAACUACUGUUGUAUGCACACGGAGCAAGGUCCUGGUCCCUCCCGCCGACCGGAGCAACCUGCGAAGGUGAGGGAACCUUGGUGCUUGGGUCUCCCUCUUAUCCUUUCUCUCUAGAUGGCGUGAGGUACCUUAAGUGUAGCAGAAGUACUACCUCCGCCCGGGUUUAUUGGGCCCCUUCGUAUUUUGCGUCAGACUUUGACAUCUAUAGACAACAAAAAUAUAAAGCAUAUGCUAUAAAAAUUGUACUGUUGGAUUUGUAUUUGAAAGAGCUUUCCAACAAUAGAAUUUUUGUGACAUAUAGUUUAUAUUUUGUUAGUUAAUUUUUUAGGUCAAACUUUUGCCCAAAAUAAAAGGGGGCCUAAUAAACCCGGACGGUGGGAGUAGAACAAGCAGGAGGAGAUGAAUAUGUGUCUAUGAUGGAGUGGGAGGAGCAUCGAGGGUGAACCAGGAUGAAGUGGGACAGGGUGGAGGAAGGGAGGGAGGAUUGUGGAGAAAAGGUGUCGCCCCGAGACUAUCCUUGGUGUAUAGUUGGACAUAUGUAUGGACCUUCUGGUAAGAGUAGCUUGGCGGUAUUAUGAAGUAAAUCACGACUAUUUAAAAAGAUAAUCUGUGUUACACACUUAGCAUAUAUAUAUUCAAAAUUUGGCUUGCAAAUACAAUUCGGUAGAUGAGAUAAAAACACCAUGGGCGUGCACCAUGAGUGCGGCUCCUUUCUAGUUUGUUUUAGAACUGGGUAUUAUAUGGUCACCUAUGUGUUGAACUUUCAAGUCGCUAUAUCCCAUGACCCCUGAUAGAAUCAUGCCCAUGGGAAAGAGUUGCAUGUAAGGAUCGAGGUGCCCCACAUCUUUCUAUACAUGGUCUCAUUGGUCAGUGUUGCAUGUUUUUCAACAACAAAGCCUUUAGUCCCAAACAAAUUGGGGUAGGUUAGAGGUGAAGAUCUCGCAACCAACUCAUGGUUCUGGCACAUGGAUAGCAAGCUUCCACGCACCCCUGUCCAUGGCUAGUUCUCUGAUGAUACUCCGGUCCUUCUGGUGGUACUCCAGUCCUUCAGAUCUCUCUUUAUGGAGUCUUCCCAUGUCAAGUUCGGUCUACCGUGACCUCUUGACAUUAUUAGCAUGCUUUAGCCGCUCGCUAUGCACUGGCGCUUCUGGAGGCCUGCGUUGAAUAUGCCCAAACCAUCUCAAUACGAUGUUGGACAAGCUUCUCUUCAAUCGGUGCUACCCCAACUCUAUCUCGUAUAUCAUCAUUCUGGACUCGGUCCUUGUGUGCAACAUCCAUCUCAACAUGCGCAUCUCCGCCACACCUAACUGGUCCGGCGGGGGCGGGGAGCGGGAUCGGUCGCGACGACCAUUGCGCCCCAGGGAGCGGCGGGGCGGAGAUUGGCGAUCAAGGGGGCGGAGGAGACCGGCGGGCGUCGUGAGAGGAGAGGAGGCAGCUGGCCUCCUCAAGGCGGACGUCAUCAGGAGAGGGCCGCGAUGGGUCACGGCGGUCGUCCAUGCGAUGCUUGGCCCGGGGCGCCUCAUCGCCCCACUCCCUGGGCAUGGCUGGCACCGCACGAGAGGGGCCAGGAGGGGUCGAUGGCGGCGGCGGCGGGGGAUCGGGGGGCGGCCGAGACGGUGGAUGGGGCGCCGCCGACAGUAGUGUUUGUGGCGGAGAACGGGUGGGGAGGCUGGAUCGGGAACCCACAGGGGGGCUAGAUGAACCCCCUACCCGGCCGCAGCCCGGGGAGGCCCAGCAGACCGGCCUGAGGGGUGGGCCUGGGCCCAGGGUGCCCCCAGCCACCCAAGCACGAGCCACAGGACAGGGGCCCAUCGGCGCGCGGGCCUAGCGGUGUGAGGCCCAACGGGCGGGGGGCAGCAGUCGCCGAGGGGGAAACCCUCGUCCGCGAUGCCGGCGCCGCCGCCGCCGCCAUCAACGCCGCUGGGGCGGCCAGGGCAAGCCAUGGGCGCCUGAGGGGGGAAUAACGAGCGUCAGCAGAUCUGGGAGCAGCGAACUGGGCCACGAACGGCCUGAAGGGGGAGUGGCGGACGACCACGGCGGCGAGAUCGGCCGGCCACCCAGGCACCAGCGAACACCGACGAGCUCGAGGGGAUGGCGGCCCCGCCACACGCUAGGAGGACCUGGCGGCACCGAGGUCGGAACGCCUUGCGACGCCCCACGCCGAGGCGCCUCAAGGCGGGCCCUUUGGUCAUCACCGACGGCGGGCCAAGCGGCCAGCCGACGCCCCCUGGAGGCCAGCAGCAGAGGGCCGGCACCGCGGGGGGGGGGGGGGGGGUCGCGCUGCUCCACCCGGCCUCGCGGUCGUCGCCCUCGGCCACAUCAGCCCAGCGGGGCCGGAGCAGGUGGCGAGGAGGGCUGAGCGGGAGGGGCGACGGCCAAGGAGGAGGCAGGAGGGCCAGGCGGCGGGCAGGAGGUUGCCGGCGGGGAGAGGGAAGGGGCGGGCGCGGCGAGGGCGGCGGCGGGGCCGCAGUCGCCCCCAGCUUCGCGAGAGCCAAAUUCAAACUCCAUCCUCCACCAUAUGUUCACCUGGGUGAAGAAUGUGAGCAUCCAGAGUAUAUCAUUCGCGGGCCACCCCCUGCUAUCCAGUACUGCGGAGAGCUUGAAAAAUACUGUCACUGGGGCAAUGAAGUUAAGCUCUAUCAGCACCAUGUGAACACCUUGUUUGCCAUGUUCCGCCGCAAAAAGGCAGACAUCAAAUACUAUGUGUGCACCAUCAACAAAACAUUUUCAAAGCCAGGCCAGCGCGUGUAUUUUCAGGUUUACUACACUGAAAAAACCUGAAGGAUUACAUUGACCCAGAUGAUGAUACACUCAAGGUGAAACUUGCAAACAGUGAACUGCACGCCAAAUGUCGCAUCAUGCUAGGAACCGACAAGAGAGCCACCAUAACCACCAACUGGUCAGAAUUCCGCUACCUUGCAAACAUCCAUUAAGGAAACAUCUGCGUCUUUCGCUUCAAGCAGGACAUUAGAGGAGCAUGCGACACACCUCAAGAUCACAUUGGAAAUCCUACAAUCAGUUAAGCUGCCCAAAUGCAUCUUUGCAACAGACAAGGUGAAUACCUGGGCCAUGUGAUCACAGGUGCUGGUGUGACUACCAACCCCAAAACAAUGAAGGACAUUGUUGAAUGGCCCAUCCCUACUACAAUCUCUAAACUAAGAGGAAUCCUGGGUAUUACUGGAUACUACAGGAGAUUCAUCAAAGAUUAUGCUAAGAUAUGCAGGCCACUCCAUGUUCUACUUAAGAAAGACGCCUUCCAAUGGACCCAAGAACACACGGCUGUAUUUGAAGUACUCAAAACAAAACUGACCCCCUGCCCUGUAUUAACUCUGCCUGACUUUAGUAGGCCUUUUGUCCUGGAGACUGAUGUAUGUGGGACAGGUUUGGGAGCAGUUUUUAUGGAAAGUGGUAAGAGCA